rnacentral:sRNA from 1 species
CUCCAAUCUUCCCAAUCUCCUUUGUUCAUCUCUUUAUUAUUAUUUCUUCCUCAAUUAUCUCUCCCAGCAGACGCGCGCUUGCGAUUAUCAGAGGCCUGAAUGCACCCCCAAUCCCAGAAGAAGCGGCACAGCCGAUUUUGACAGGCUAGAUGAUUGCAAAUGGCUAUUGUGACCGUCAGGCUGCACACGAUUUGGGGUCUAACAAUGGAGCUUCAAUGAGAACAAAUGAUGCCGCUUCGCUCAUUCACCGUCACCCGUCACCAUUACCCAUGCGGAACUUGUUGGCCCCAUUUGGCUGCCAGCUACACAGCUGCUGAACCCUGAUAUCAGACUGAGAUAUUACGUGCACUCAUUACUGCUAUUAGAUCAUUGAACAUUUAGAGCAAAAUCACUAUCGAACUAAACAAUGAAAUUAAUGAUUUUACAUGGUGUGCUCACCAUUUUAUGAAUGGGGGGAAAGAGUGGG